rnacentral:rRNA from 1 species
CCUACGGGAGGCAGCAGUAGGGAAUAUUGCACAAUGGGGGAAACCCUGAAGCAGCAACGCCGCGUGGAGGAUGAAGGUUUUAGGAUUGUAAACCUCUUUUGUUAGAGAAGAUUAUGACGGUAUCUAACGAAUAAGCACCGGCUAACUCCGUGCCAGCAGCCGCGGUAAUACGGAGGGUGCAAGCGUUACUCGGAAUCACUGGGCGUAAAGAGUGCGUAGGCGGGGUAGUAAGUCAGAUGUGAAAUCCUGUAGCUUAACUACAGAACUGCAUUUGAAACUGUUACUCUGGAGUGUGGGAGAGGUAGGUGGAAUUCUUGGUGUAGGGGUGAAAUGCGUAGAGAUCAAGAGGAAUACUCAUGGCGAAGGCGACCUGCUGGAACAUUACUGACGCUGAUGCACGAAAGCGUGGGGAGCAAACAGGAUUAGAUACCCCUGUAGUC